rnacentral:rRNA from 1 species
GUCCACGCCCUAAACGAUGUCAACUGGUUGUUGGGAAUUUAUUUCUCAGUAACGAAGCUAACGCGUGAAGUUGACCGCCUGGGAGUACGGCCGCAAGGUUAAACUCAAAGGAAUUGACGGGACCCGCACAAGCGGUGGAUGAUGUUCUUUAAUUCGAUGCAACGCGAAACCUUACCCACCUUUGACAUGUAUGGAAUCCUUUAGAGAUAAAGGAGUGCUCGAAAGAGAGCCAUAACACAGGUGCUGCAUGGCUGUCGU